GAUGAACGCUGGCGGCGUGCCUAAUACAUGCAAGUCGAGCGAACAGAUAAGGAGCUUGCUCCUUUGAAGUUAGCGGCGGACGGGUGAGUAACACGUGGGUAACCUACCUAUAAGACUGGGAUAACUUCGGGAAACCGGAGCUAAUACCGGAUAACAUUUAGAACCGCAUGGUUCUAAAGGGAAAGAUGGUUUUGCUAUCACUUAUAGAUGGACCCGCGCCGUAUUAGCUAGUUGGUAAGGUAACGGCUUACCAAGGCGACGAUACGUAGCCGACCUGGGAGGGUGAUCGGCCACACUGGAACUGAGACACGGUCCAGACUCCUACGGGAGGCAGCAGUAGGGAAUCUUCCGCAAUGGGCGAAAGCCUGACGGAGCAACGCCGCGUGAGUGAUGAAGGGUUUCGGCUCGUAAAACUCUGUUAUUAGGGAAGAACAAAUGUGUAAGUAACUGUGCACAUCUUGACGGUACCUAAUCAGAAAGCCACGGCUAACUACGUGCCAGCAGCCGCGGUAAAAC
rnacentral:rRNA from 1 species